rnacentral:rRNA from 1 species
UACGUAGGGUGCGAGCGUUGUCCGGAAUUAUUGGGCUUAAAGAGCUCGUAGGUGGUUUGUCGCGUUGUUCGUGAAAACUCACAGCUCAACUGUGGGCGUGCGGGCGAUACGGGCAGACUGGAGUACUGCAGGGGAGACUGGAAUUCCUGGUGUAGCGGUGGAAUGCGCAGAUAUCAGGAGGAACACCGGUGGCGAAGGCGGGUCUCUGGGCAGUAACUGACGCUGAGGAGCGAAAGCGUGGGGAGCGAACAGG